rnacentral:rRNA from 1 species
UGCAAGUCGAACGGUAAGUAGUGUAGCAAUACAUUGCCUAGAGUGACGUACGGGUGCGUAACACGUAUGCAACCUACCCUUUACAGGCGGAUAGCUCGGGGAAACCCGAAUUAACCCGCCGUAGUAUAAUUGGAUGGCAUCAUUUGAUUAUUAAAACUCCGGUGGUAAAGGAUGGGCAUGCGUCUGAUUAGUUAGUUGGUAGUGUAACGGACUACCAAGACGAUGAUCAGUAGGGGAACUGAGAGGUUGAUCCCCCACACUGGCACUGAGAUACGGGCCAGACUCCUACGGGAGGCAGCAGUAGGGAAUAUUGGUCAAUGGAUGGAAGUCUGAACCAGCCAUGCCGCGUGCAGGAAGAAGGCCUUCUGGGUUGUAAACUGCUUUUGUCAGGGGAUAAAAUUUCCUUGCGAGGAAAAUUGAAGGUACCUGGCGAAUAAGCCACGGCUAACUACGUGCCAGCAGCCGCGGUAAUACGUAGGUGGCAAGCGUUGUCCGGAUUUAUUGGGUUUAAAGGGUGCGUAGGCGGCCCUGUAAGUCAGUGGUGAAAUAUUUCAGCUCAACUGGAAUUGUGCCAUUGAUACUGCGGGGCUUGAGUACAGAUGAGGUAGGCGGAAUUGACGGUGUAGCGGUGAAAUGCUUAGAUAUCGUCAAGAACACCUAUAGCGAAGCAGCUUACUAGGCUGUAACUGACGCUGAAGCACGAAAGUGUGGGGAUCAAACAGGAUUAGAUACCCUGGUAGUCCACACUGUAAACGUUGAUUACUCGCUGUGUGCGAUAUACCGUACCGGCCAAGCGAAAGCCUAAGUAAUCCACCUGGGGAGUACGCCGGCAACGGUGAAACUCAAAGGAAUUGGCGGGGUCCGCA